rnacentral:rRNA from 1 species
UACGGAGGGUGCGAGCGUUGUUCGGAAUCACUGGGCGUAAAGCGCGUGUAGGCGGCCUUGUAAGUCUGGUGUGAAAGCCCGGGGCUUACCCCCGGAAGUGCACUGGAAACUGUGGGGCUGGAGUACCGGAGAGGAGGGUGGAAUUCCUGGUGUAGCGGUGAAAUGCGUAGAUAUCAGGAGGAACGCCGGUGGCGAAGGCGGCCCUCUGGACGGAUACUGACGCUGAGACGCGACAGCGUGGGGAGCAAACAGG